UACGGAGGAUCCAAGCGUUAUCCGGAUUUAUUGGGUUUAAAGGGUGCGUAGGCGGCUUAUUAAGUCAGGGGUGAAAGACGGUGGCUCAACCAUCGCAGUGCCCUUGAUACUGAUGAGCUUGAAUAUACUAGAGGUAGGCGGAAUGUGACAAGUAGCGGUGAAAUGCAUAGAUAUGUCACAGAACACCGAUUGCGAAGGCAGCUUACUAUGGUAUUAUUGACGCUGAGGCACGAAAGCGUGGGGAUCAAACAGG
rnacentral:rRNA from 1 species